CCUUCAUUGUUCGUGCUCUGGCUAUACAUACAUGCUCUCACACACGUGUACAUGUACAACAUGUAUAAUUAUAUAGCUUAUAUAUUUACACAUGCACAUAUAUUUACAUCUCUAUGCAAAUAUAGAUAUAGAUUCUUCUCUACUUACAGUGAGGUUAUAUCCUGAUAAACCUGUUAUCAGUUGAAAGUAUGAUAAGUUGAAAAUUCAUUUAAUACACUUAACCUACUGAACAUCAUAGCUUAGCCUAGUCUACCUUAAAGGUGCUCAGAACACUUACGUUAGACUGCAGCUGGGAAAAAGCAUUUAACACAAAGCCAAUUUUAUAAUAAAGUGUUGAGUAUCUCAUGGAGGUUGCAGUGAGCCAAGAUCAUGCCAUUGCACUACAGGUUGGGUGACAGACAAGAGCGAGACUUCGUCUCAGAAAAAAAAAAAAAAAGAAAGAAAAAAGAAAAAAGAAAUUAGAGCAGCUCCCAGAACGUAAUUAGUACUCAAUAAAUGAAUGAGCAAAUAGUUUGUAUCAUAAUGAAAACAAAAGGUACUGAAAAAAUGAGUCAACCAAUAAUUCUAUAUUCAACAAAACUAUUUUUAAAAAAGCAAAAUACUUACAUUACCAAAUUUGAAAAGGCUGAGAAAAGCUGAUACUAGCAGAUCUGCAUUACAGACUAUACUAAAGAAAUUAUUCUAAGCUUAAAGGAAAUGACAUUAGACAUAAAGUGUACUGGAAAAGGUAAAUAUGUAAGUAUGUAUAAAAAACUAUAUAAGUAGAUCUUCUUCUUUCUACAUUUAGUGAUAAGACAUAAGACUGUACCUUUGGGUUUUAACAUACACAUAAUACAUAUAUGACAAUA
rnacentral:lncRNA from 1 species